AUAUCAAUAAGCGGAGGAAAAGAAACCAACAGGGAUUGCCUUAGUAACGGCGAGUGAAGCGGCAACAGCUCAAAUUUGAAAUCUGGCCUCUUGGGGUCCGAGUUGUAAUUUGGAGAGGAUGUUUCGGGUACGGUCCGGGCUUAUAUUUCUUGGAACAGAAUGUCAUAGAGGGUGAGAAUCCCGUCUGGAGCUCGGACACGGCCUAUGUGAAACUCCUUCGACGAGUCGAGUUGUUUGGGAAUGCAGCUCUAAAUGGGUGGUAAAUUUCAUCUAAAGCUAAAUAUUGGCCAGAGACCGAUAGCGCACAAGUAGAGUGAUCGAAAGAUGAAAAGCACUUUGAAAAGAGAGUUAAAAAGUACGUGAAAUUGUUGAAAGGGAAGCGCUGGCAACCAGACUUGCGCGUCGGGGUUCCCCCUUGCUUCUGCCUGGGUUACUCCCCGGCGUUCAGGCCAACAUCGGUUUCGGGGGUCGGUUAAAGGCCCUGGGAAUGUACCUACCCUCCGGGGUAGACUUAUAGCCCAGGGUGUCAUGCGACCUCCCGGGACCGAGGAACGCGCUUCGGCUCGGAUGUUGGCGUAAUGGUUGUCAGCGA
rnacentral:rRNA from 1 species